AGCAUCCUAAUGGAAAUUGUGCAUUACAUGAUAAAACAUGGCUGUUUUCCAUUUGCACUUUUAAAAUUUUGGACAUUUGUAGCAUUUCUUUGAGCAGUGCCUUGGGUAGUGUUCAUCUCACUCUGCAUCAGAUUUUGGGCAGAGAACUGAAUGUUAUCUUUUUCCUCCUAUCAUGGUUCUGGUUCUUUUAACUCCCUGAUUAUCAGCUUGUGCGGUUGUACAAAACGUCCAUGGAUAUAGUUUGGAGCUGUUAAGGUGAUGGCAAAAGAUCUUAUCUGAACAAGGCAUCAAAUUACAAAAUUUCAUGCACUCAACUCACAACUCCAAGGUGUAUCUCUUAGAAUUCAGAGAAAGGCAAGCAACAUUUAGAAGAUCAGAUAUAUAUGACUUGAACCAAGCAUGCUUAUCGU